rnacentral:rRNA from 1 species
GAUGAACGCUGGCGGCGUGCCUAAUACAUGCCAGUCGAGCGAACGGACGAGAAGCUUGCUUCUCUGAUGUUAGCGGCGGACGGGUGAGUAACACGUGGAUAACCUACCUAUAAGACUGGGAUAACUUCGGGAAACCGUAGCUAAUACCGGAUAAUAUUUUGAACCGCAUGGUUCAAAAGUGAAAGACGGUCUUGCUGUCACUUAUAGAUGGAUCCGCGCUGCAUUAGCUAGUUGGUAAGGUAACGGCUACCAAGGCAACGAUGCAUAGCCGACCUGAGAGGGUGAUCGGCCACACUGGAACUGAGACACGGUCCAGACUCCUACGGGAGGCAGCAGUAGGGAAUCUUCCGCAAUGGGCGAAAGCCUGACGGAGCAACGCCGCGUGAGUGAUGAAGGUCUUCGGAUCGUAAAACUCUGUUAUUAGGGAAGAACAUAUGUGUAAGUAACUGUGCACAUCUUGACGGUACCUAAUCAGAAAGCCACGGCUAACUACGUG